rnacentral:rRNA from 1 species
CUUGGUCAUUAGAGGAAGUAAAAGUCGUAACAAGGUUUUCCUUCCAGUUAAAGCUAUUAACUUAUUGAAGCCUGACGUGGGCGACUAUAAAAUAUAACCAUGGAGUUCGGUCUUUAACGGACUGGACAACACCGCUGAAAUGCUGUGAUCAACUAUUGUUGUACCAGCAGCCCUCUUAUAGGGCCCACAGAUCAAGCCGCGGUGAUCCUACCUAGAGUAUUUAAGUAGGACUAUAAUAUGACCGGUCUCACCUGAGAUGGUUGAGAGAACACGUUCCGUAGGUGAACCUGCGGAAGGAUCAUUACCGAGUUAGGGUCUUAUAGGCCCGACCUCCAACCCUUUGUUUACUACACCAUGUUGCUUUGGCGGGCCCGCCUUUUGGGGCCGCCGGGGGUUUACAAGCCCCUGGUCAGUGUCCGCCAGUAGCCUUAUUAAAUUCUUUUAUAAUUAUGUUGUCUGAGUAUAAAUAUAAAUCGUUAAAACUUUCAACAACGGAUCUCUUGGUUCUGGCAUCGAUGAAGAACGCAGCGAAAUGCGAUAAGUAAUGCGAAUUGCAGAAUUCAGUGAGUCAUCGAAUCUUUGAACGCAUAUUGCGCCCUUUGGUAUUCCGAAGGGCAUGCCUGUUCGAGCGUCAUUAUCAACCAUCAAGCCUGGCUUGUCGUUGGACCCUUUUUACCGCUGAAAUAUGUGGUAGGUCCGAAAGAUAAUGACGGCGUCGUGUUUGACCCUAGAUGCAACGAGCUUUUUAUAGCACGCAUUGAAGUGGUCGACCGACCCGGUCUUUAACCAUCAUUUUCUAAGGUUGACCUCGGAUCAGGUAGGAAUACCCGCUGAACUUAAGCAUAUCAAUAAGCGGAGGA